UACGUAGGUGGCAAGCGUUGUUCGGAAUUAUUGGGCGUAAAGGGCGCGUAGGCGGUUUGUUAAGUCGGCUGUGAAAGCCCGGGGCUCAACCCCGGAGGGUCAGCCGAUACUGGCAGACUAGAGUACGGAAGAGGUAGCUGGAAUUCCUGGUGUAGCGGUGAAAUGCGUAGAUAUCAGGAGGAACACCGGCGGCGAAGGCGGCCCUCUGGCUCGUUGCUGACGCUGAGACGCGAAAGCGUGGGGAGCAAACAGG
rnacentral:rRNA from 1 species